CUUUCGCAAUUACUAGUGCGCCUGCGCGGAAUUUGACGUUCGAUCCAGAAAUUGGAGAUAAACAGAGAGAUAAACAGAACCGCGGACGCCCUUGUGCCAAGCACCAUCAUGUCUGAAUUUCCAGCUUACACACGGCGUUACCGGUGGUGACCCGCCUUGGGCUGAGUUCCAACGAUGUUCUGGACCUAGUUUGCCAAAAAUAUUCUCUUCAAGGGGAUUUACGUGUUACUGUUCAUCAUGAAGCUGUGUGCAGUAGUGAAUUGCAGCAAUUCAACAUACCAUCUACUAGACAAAUGGACAUGCCAAAAACAUGGUACCAAACUUGGCUGCUGCGACUGCCCCGACUGCCCACCACCGUUCAAACUAUUCCCAUUCCCUACUGAGAAGAAAAGACCCGAUGCAAGGAGACGGUGGAACAAACUAAUAAACAAGAAAGACUCGGUUAGCAAUAAAAACUGGGUUAACAAGCCACAUGAUAGGGUUUGUUCUUGAUACUUUAUAGAUGGCAAACCCACAGCAGCACAUCCUGACCCCGUCCUACAUCUCGGCUACACAGGGCCUUCAUCUGACCAGAAGGUAACGCCAAAGCGACCACCUCCAUCAAAACGUGUUGCGGUUCCUGACCCUCAAAAAAAGAAGCCACGCACAUGUGCUAGUAUUGAUGAAGAUGAUGUUGUAAUGACUCCGGUGGAAAAGACAGAGCAUGACCACAGGUACACUUACAAAUGUGACUGCAGAGAAGAAUGUGACUGUCAGGGCUGUAGCUAUCACAGAGACUAUACCACCACAGUUCAAGAAGAAAUGUAGAAGAAUAAGAUGCAUACUAGCUUGACUGUACAGAGAUUUUUAUUGAGAGGCCCAGAUCUUUGGACUUACAAGCAUCAACAUGGUCAGAAUACAAGAAGCACAAUAUGCUAAAGAUUCUUAUAGGAAUAACUCCAAAUGGACACAUCUCAUUUGUGUCUAAGACGUAUGGCGGAAGAGCCUCUGAUGUGUUUAUCACACGAGAUAGCGGAUUCCUAGAUUUAGUAGAAGCGAAUGAUGUGAUUAUGGCUGACAGGGGCUUUCCUAUUCAGGAAGACCUCUUGCUUAGACGUGCUACUUUGGAAAUUCCACCUGCUGCACAGGGGAAUCGUCAGAUGACUAGGGACAAAGUAGGGAAAACAAAGAAAGUGGCUAACUUGAGAAUUCAUGUGCAACGGGCAAUCAAUAGAAUUAAGGACUUCAAAAUCCUCCAUUUCCCAUAACAUUGGUAUCAGCAGCAGAUGAUAUUGUCAAGGUCUGUGCUGCAUUAGUUAACCUGCAGCCAGGCCUGAUCAAGUAAACCUGGCAGUGUCAUUCAUACUAAUCAUAGUCUACAUCUCUGAGCUUACAUAUUCAUCAUCAUUUUUUUAGUAAUCAUUAUGUGCAAUGUAAGUCAUCAUUGCAUUGCAUAUACUGUACCAUACAUGAAGUGAGUGCUUGUUGUAAGGAUUGCCUUUCUACAUAG